rnacentral:tRNA from 1 species
AGCAUAGGUGGUUCAGUGGUAGAAUGCUCGCCUGCCACGCGGGCGGCCUGGGUUCGAUUCCCGGCCGUGGUA